rnacentral:rRNA from 1 species
AUGAUCCACCGCCGAGGCUGUUCCCCGGCUGUGGUGCUGGAAGACGACGACAUGCUCGGGGAGAUACUCCUCCGUCUCCCGCCAUGGCCGUCCUCCUUGCCGCGCGCCUCCGCCGUCUGCAAGCGCUGGCGAGGUCUCCUUACCGACGCCCGCUUCUUUUGCCGCUUCUGUGCACACCACCGGGAGCCGCCCUUCCUCGGCAUCUUCCACCAAUGCGAUCAGCUCAAUUUCACACCCAUAUUGCCUGCUCCUGACCGCAUCCCCCCUGGGCGCCUCGACCUGCGGGUCUGCAACUUUGGGGGCCGGCUGCUCGGCUGCCGCCACGGCCGUGUCCACAUCUUAAACCUGUGGCGCACAGAGAUCCUCGUGUGUGACCCCUUCGCCGCCUGCCAGCAUCGUGUGCCGAUUCCACCCGAGUUCAAGUGGGGCUACAUCAAUGGAGCGGUGCUCUGCACUGCCCGUGAUCAGGGCCAUGUGCACCGCGGUUGCUACUCCACACCCUUCAAGGUAGUCUUGUUGCUUAUGCGCGGUAUGGAUGGUCGACCUCUUGCCUUUGUUUAUUCCUCCGAAACCGACACAUGGGGCGGUCUCAUCUCAACAGAGGUUCGAUAUCAGGAUUGUUUUAGCGCUUCUAAUAGCAUCCUUGUUGGUAAUGUCCUUUACUGGUCGUUCCAGUAUGCAAAGGAGGGUAUACUUGGGUUUGAUUUGGAAAGGCAGAUCCUUGAUGUACUCGAGGGGCCUCCCGAGUGCGGUAUGUAUCAUUCCCACAGCCAUCAGAUCAUCCAAGCAGAAGAUGGUGCGGUUGGUCUUGCUAUGUUGUGUCACCAUUACCGUAACAUUCAAAUGUGGCAGAGGAAGGUCAAUUGCCAUGGUGUUGCCACCUGGGUGCGGUGGAAGACCAUUGAAAUGCAUAAAAUUCUUGGGCUCCCUCCUCAGGUUGAUGGAAAGAAGGCAUCAUUGGAUUAUAAUAUACAUGGACAUGUUGAGGAUACCGACGUGAUAUUUUUAUAUGUGAAAGGCAGUGUCUAUAUGGUUCAGCUUAAGUCGAUGCAAUCUAGGAAGCUUUGUGAAGCCCCUGAUAGUAGUACUUACUAUCAUUCUUUCAAGUGUUUCUAUGCGCCAGGUGAUUAUUCAUCCCUAGUCCACCUAUUGUAG